AGAGUGUUGAUCCUGGCUCAGAUUGAACGCUGGCGGCAUGCCUUACACAGUGCAAGUCGAACGGCAGCACGGGGGUAACCCUGGUGGCGAGUGGCGAACGGGUGAGUAAUACAGUCGGAACGUGUCCUGUAGUGGGGGAUAGCCCGGCGAAAGCCGGAUUAAUACCGCAUACGAUCUACGGAAGAAAGCGGGGGAUCCUUCGGGACCUCGNCGCUAUAGGGGCGGCCGAUGGCAGAUUAGCUAGUUGGUGGGGUAAAGGCCUACCAAGGCGACGAUCUGUAGCUGGUCUGAGAGGACGACCAGCCACACUGGGACUGAGACACGGCCCAGACUCCUACGGGAGGCAGCAGUGGGGAAUUUUGGACAAUGGGGGAAACCCUGAUCCAGCAAUGCCGCGUGUGUGAAGAAGGCCUUCGGGUUGUAAAGCACUUUUGUCC
rnacentral:rRNA from 1 species